GAAGGAUGUGCGUGCCUAACUUGCAAAUGGAACCGAAUCGAAAUAAUUCGGAGGGAGUCCAAAGAGCAAAAUCAGUCGUCAGUCGAAACCAAAGGAUAACGCAUCGUUAGGCGGCUCCUCUUAGGCUAUAUAAACAAAUAAGCAAGUCUAGGACUUCGUUGCUCACCCAAAGCCACUGGAAAUCUGCUGUGGUCGCAGGGAAUGGGAAUGGGAAUGGGAAAUACCUAAAACUAAGUCCUCAUCACGGAUAUGAGCAAGACAAUGACAAGGAACGGCUGAAUUAGAUGGGAAUUACUUCUAAGCGAAGACAGCGAAGACAACAACAACAUAACAUUCUUUCCUCUGCUGAUUCCACAUCUACUACUUCUAUGGUCGAGUUAACAUCUAUGCAGCACAUCCAAAGGAUAGCAGCGAUUUCUGUAAUAUCACAUUAUUCACCAUCAAAAAGUAUUCAAAUUAUUCAAUUUACAAUUUUUUAAAGCGCAAUAAAGUGCACUUAAUUGAAUCAAAAAAGA